AUUGAACGCUGGCGGCAGGCCUAACACAUGCAAGUCGAGCGGAUGACGGGAGCUUGCUCCUUGAUUCAGCGGCGGACGGGUGAGUAAUGCCUAGGAAUCUGCCUGUUAGUGGGGGACAACGUUUCGAAAGGAACGCUAAUACCGCCUACGUCCUACGGGAGAAAGCAGGGGACCGUCGGGCCUUGCGCUAUCAGAUUAGCCUAGGUCGGAUUAGCUUGUUGGUGAGGCAAUGGCUCACAAAGGCGACGAUCCGUAACUGGUCUGAGAGGAUGAUCAGUGACACUGGAACUGAGACACGGUCCAGACUCCUACGGGAGGCAGCAGUGGGGAAUAUUGGACAAUGGGCGAAAGCCUGAUCCAGCCAUGCCGCGUGUGUGAAGAAGGUCUUCGGAUUGUAAAGCACUUUAAGUUGGGAGGAAGGGUUGUAGAUUAAUACUCUGCAAUUUUGACGUUACCGACAGAAUAAGCACCGGCUAACUCUGUGCCAGCCGCCGCUGUAAGAC
rnacentral:rRNA from 1 species